rnacentral:rRNA from 1 species
AUUGAACGCUGGCGGAAUGCUUUACACAUGCAAGUCGAACGGCAGCACGGGGGCAGCCCUGGUGGCGAGUGGCGAACGGGUGAGUAAUACAUCGGAACGUGCCCGGUCGUGGGGGAUAACGUAGCGAAAGUUACGCUAAUACCGCAUACGAUCUGAGGAUGAAAGCGGGGGACCUUCGGGCCUCGCGCCAUCGGAGCGGCCGAUGUCAGAUUAGGUAGUUGGUGGGGUAAAGGCCUACCAAGCCGACGAUCUGUAGCUGGUCUGAGAGGACGACCAGCCACACUGGGACUGAGACACGGCCCAGACUCCUACGGGAGGCAGCAGUGGGGAAUUUUGGACAAUGGGCGCAAGCCUGAUCCAGCCAUUCCGCGUGCAGGACGAAGGCCUUCGGGUUGUAAACUGCUUUUGUAUGGAACGAAAAGGCUCUGGCUAAUACCUGGGGCUCAUGACGGUACCGUAAGAAUAAGCACCGGCUAACUACGUG